GCUGCCCCUGGACUGCCCGGUGGAGGACGUGUGGCGCGAGGAGGGCGACCGGGUGUCCCUGCGCUGCUCCCUGCCUUUUCCAGCACCCCCGGAUGUGGUGGCCACAUGGGGUUUCGCCAAGGACGUGCGCAGCCAGGACCUGUCCUUGUUCGGGGAGGCGGGGGUGGCUGGAGGCUUGGCCCGGGGGUUCGUGAUCCGGUCAGCCCAGGCCUCGCAACGCGGCACCUUCCUCUGCCGGCUCCGCGCUGGGGCCCAGCUGCUCGCCCGGCGCUACUUCUACCUCAACGGUGCGGUGGAUGCGUGGGGCCUGGAGCCCGGACACCAGGGGGCUGGGGGGGCUGACAACAGGGGGACCUGGGCACCUGGAUCCUUUCCGAGGGCCAACGGGGCCCGUGGGAGGUAGAGUUGUGGGGCAGGGACCCCGGACACCUGGAUCCUCUCCAUCUUGGAGGGAAUGGGGGUGAGAGCAGGGGGGGCUGGGCGGCUGGACAUCUGGGUUCUCCGGGCAGGCGGUGGGGCUGGUUUGGGGGUCAGACCAGGCCUCCCCAGAUGCUGGGGUUCCCUCUGCACUAGGGAGUGACUCAGGUGCUGGGGUUCGCUGUGCCCACAGUGACGGCGCGCCGGGGGGGGCUGGAGCAGGGGCUGCAAGCCACGU